rnacentral:rRNA from 1 species
GGGAAACUGCCUGAUGGAGGGGGAUAACUACUGGAAACGGUAGCUAAUACCGCAUGACCUCGCAAGAGCAAAGUGGGGGACCUUCGGGCCUCACGCCAUCGGAUGUGCCCAGAUGGGAUUAGCUAGUAGGUGAGGUAAUGGCUCACCUAGGCGACGAUCCCUAGCUGGUCUGAGAGGAUGACCAGCCACACUGGAACUGAGACACGGUCCAGACUCCUACGGGAGGCAGCAGUGGGGAAUAUUGCACAAUGGGCGCAAGCCUGAUGCAGCCAUGCCGCGUGUGUGAAGAAGGCCUUCGGGUUGUAAAGCACUUUCAGCGAGGAGGAAGGCCAGUGACUUAAUAAGUGACUGGAUUGACGUUACUCGCAGAAGAAGCACCGGCUAACUCCGUGCCAGCAGCCGCGGUAAUACGGAGGGUGCAAGCGUUAAUCGGAAUUACUGGGCGUAAAGCGCACGCAGGCGGUUUGUUAAGUCAGAUGUGAAAUCCCCGAGCUUAACUUGGGAACUGCAUUUGAAACUGGCAAGCUAGAGUCUUGUAGAGGGGGGUAGAAUUCCAGGUGUAGCGGUGAAAUGCGUAGAGAUCUGGAGGAAUACCGGUGGCGAAGGCGGCCCCCUGGACAAAGACUGACGCUCAGGUGCGAAAGCGUGGGGAGCAAACAGGAUU